UAGCCGUUUGUAUUUCUACAGUCAUGCUUCUAAAGAUUGUAUGGUUUUAUUUUCACUAUAGAUUUGCUUGAGUAGUUCUGUAACUUCUAGAAUAGAUCAGUUAAGAGGUUUUACUCUUAGGCUUGUAUAAACUUACAACAUCUUUUAUUUGUAUUUUUGGAACAUUAGUUUUGUAUAGCUUUACUUUAGUUUCUGGAAACAAGAUUAAAUACGUAUGUUUGCAGUUUGUAAUUUACAGUAGUAUUUUUUGUGAAUUUGCUUCACUAGUUCUGUAAAAUGUCUAGAAUAGUUCACUUCUGGAAUGAAGAGUUAAUAUGUAUUAAUCAAUCUUCUAAUUUUACCUUUUCGCUUGUAUAGAUUUCCAGCUGUAGUAUUUUUGUUAUUUUUCUUCAGUAGUUUUGGAAAAUGGACUAAAUAUGAAAAGUUGGUUCUAAUUUAUUGUCAGUCUUUUUCUAUAGAUGUUACAGUUGCAUUUUUCUUAUUAGUUUUUGGCAAUUUUGCAAUGAGAAAGGUUUAACAACUGUAGUCUGUUCUGGUUUAUAAGGGCAUUGUAUCCAUGAGGAAAUUUGUUACUUAUUUCUAAAUACAUCUCUUACUGUUUAUCUGUAUGUUGCAGAGCAACUCACAUUGGUGUAGCUUAGAUGCAUUUUAAGAUAUGGCAUGAAGCUAGCUAAGGUCUUCUAUUAUUUCUAGCAGCAUGUGAUUGACUGAACAAGAGAAGGACUCCACUCACAUAUGAAGUGCUUGCAAGUUCUUUUUAAAAAAGCAAAGGACCAGCGGUGUAGCUAAGGGCUUUAAUUUAUUAGUACUCCAUUUGUUGCUUCUAAAACACUUGUAUGCACAGAUACUAGUUUCUCUUGGUUAUCAUAAGUGAACAUUCUUUAGAUAAAUUUCGCCUAGUUUUUUUAGUGGGGAAGGAAAGCUUCAUGAUAUUCCAUUUAAAACGCUGAUAUCUAUUUGAGAAUUAAUUUAUGUGCAUACCUCCUCGACCUAACAGUAUUUUUCUACUGUAUAGGAGAAAUCUUCUCAGUUUCUGAAUCCUGAGCAGUAGCAAGUCAGGUGCUUAAUGGUGAUCCUACCAUGCAUAUGGCAUAAGCAAGUUAGUUCUAAAAAGGUCAUUGUUAAUUUGCCCACAUCUAUCCUGCAAUUGCGACAACUUAGUGCGGUGAGAUUAGAGGACGGUCAUCAAUUUAAUCUACUUUGUGGCACUAAAGUAUAGAUGCUUUUCUCCGAUGCUUUUAUGAAUAUAAUAGUCAGAUGUAGUUUAAGUUCAGAUACUUUUUGACUUUUUGUUUGGUAUUUUGCAUGUCCUCAUGUGCUUAGUACUGCAUUUAGAAAUGAUUUCAGAUAGAUUCUUCUCAUUGAAAUUCAUUUCUAACGCAGGGAAAGUAUGUAUAACCUCCUGAUGUACGUGGGUUUUGAGAAUGCUUUUCCCAGGCCAUGCUGCACUCAUCAUUGAAACUUCUAGUUGUGUAUUAGAUAGUAAUCAUUUUUGCCUAAUGUAUUGCUGUCUAGUGCAGCAAAGUGCGGUCUUUCCACCCCAGAGAAGAAAAAGAAAGAGAACUAGUGCAGUCUUUUCUUCAAAAAUGACUUUCAUGUGUCCCUUGGUGGAUGUGUUGCUCCCAAUAAUUGGGUGUCUGGACAUGCUAAAUUGUUGCCUUGUGGCCAGAUGAUGCAUAUGCUCCUUUUCCAUUUAAUAUACUUCCUGGUCUGCGGAUUGAGGAGAUUCAUACAAGCUAUAUGGUGGGUCGGUGUGGCAUUCAUGCUUUAUUAUGUCUAACCCAUCACAGAUUCUAAUUAGAACAUGCCCUAUAUUUAUAAUACUAAAAUCCCAGUUUGUUUUUGCCAUUGGCGCUUUAUACAAUUAUCAUUUUUCCAUUAUCUCCAUGAAUGCGUGAAUUCACCGGUCACCCUUUUAUCCUUUGUAGGAAUGAAAUACAAGAGGACCAGGAAGUAAGCAUGAAGAUGGCAGUUUGUGUCAGGUAGGCAUUUUGUGUAAUGGGGCAAAAACAUUGUGUAUUUUAUCAUUUUGUAAACCUAUAUAGUGUCUUGUCAAUUGGGUAUUUUGUGUAAUGGAGCAAACAAUGAAACAUUGGACAUGCAUCUAUCAUUUUGUAACCAAUCAGUUGUCUUGGUGAUUGAAACAUAAAUGCUUCUUCCUUUCAGUUAGUUACUUUUACCUAUAAGGAUAUCCUAUGUUGCAAUGAGAUAUGC
rnacentral:lncRNA from 1 species